rnacentral:rRNA from 1 species
UACGGGGGGGGCAAUCGUUGUUCGGAAUUACUGGGCGUAAAGGGCUCGUAGGCGGCCAACUAAGUCAUACGUGAAAUCCCUCGGCUUAACCGGGGAACUGCGUCUGAUACUGGAUGGCUUGAGUUUGGGAGAGGGAUGCGGAAUUCCAGGUGUAGCGGUGAAAUGCGUAGAUAUCAGGAGGAACACCGGUGGCGAAGGCGGCUUGCUGGGCCAGUUCUGACGCUGAGGAGCGAAAGCGUGGGGAGCGAACAGG